GUACCUGAAGGUGAUAACCCGUAAGGAGUCACUCAAGGUAAACCGGUAACUGGGGCU
rnacentral:rRNA from 1 species